UACGUGACCUGCGGAGGAUCAUUAUGAUUUAACGCAAGGUUGUCGCUGGCCUAUUCGGCAUGUGCACGCCUUGUAAAUUCAUCCAUACACCUCUUGUGCACUUUUCAUAGAUUGACGUUACGGUGGAUUGCCUAUGGUGAUUCUGCUAGUCUCUCUGUGUAUUUUUACAAACUUCAGUAUAUGAAUGUAUACCUGCGAUAAAACGCAUUUAAAUACAACUUUCAGCAACGGAUCUCUUGGCUCUCGCAUCGAUGAAGAACGCAGCGAAAUGCGAUAAGUAAUGUGAAUUGCAGAAUUCAGUGAAUCAUCGAAUCUUUGAACGCACCUUGCGCUCCUUGGUAUUCCGAGGAGCAUGCCUGUUUGAGUGUCAUGUAUUCCUCAAUCUUCUUGGAUUUUAUUCGAGACAGAUUGGAUGUGGAAGCUGCUGUUUAAUCUUGAACAGCUCUUCUGAAAUGCAUUAGUGUGAAUGUUACCGAACGUUCUCCAGUGUAAUAAUUAUUUGCGCUGCUAGAGCCUUGGUAGAAUAUUGUUCAUGCUUCAAACCGUCUGCUUGCAGACAAUAACCUUUGCGUUUGACCUCAAAUCAGGUAGGAUUACCCGCUGAACUUAAGCAUAUCUAAACCGGAAGGAAUG
rnacentral:rRNA from 1 species